ensembl:lncRNA
GGCCGCCCCUCCCUAACCCCGGGCGGAAAGAGGCCGCGCAUUGUCCCGUCGCCGCCGCCGCCGCCGGGGAGGCGGAAGCGGAGGCAGCGGCUCGGCUGGGAGCGGCUUUUCCGAGCGCCCUCGCGGCGCUCUGCGCCCACCGCGGAUAUCUCCGGGGGCACCUGAGGUCGCGGGGUCUCCCCAAGCUAGACGCCCUGCACCCACGGGCCUGCCUGCUGACGCCCCCGCUCUAAUUUGCAUCUUUAGUCACCCGCCUCUUCCCUGGUUUGGAGAAUGUAGGCUUAAAAAAAAAAAAAAAAAGGCGGCUGCUAGGCCCAGGUUGCCAAUUUUGGAGCUUUGCUGCGGUCGGGCCGCCCCUGGAGGAGCGUGCUGGGAGAAGCUGUAGUCUUCCACGUUGGCAUAAGGAAAUUGAUAGAAUCUCUGAUGAUUGAAAAGAAUGGACCCAGUCCUUUCCAUCCCAACGAUGCUGUGUGAGGCCUAAGAACCCGCCUGGAAUUCCCUAGUCUCAGGAGAAAUCCUCUGAGGAACUGCGCUAAGCAGUGUAAUCCAUCGCGAUUCAGAUGUCAAGAAAAGCACGUGCUGUGACAGACCGGCACCAAAAUCCUUUAAACCAGUUAGAUACAAAAUAUACCCAGCUACCUUUCUAACUUCUCCCUACUGCUUCCCUCUUAAACACUCUGUACCCUAUGCU